rnacentral:lncRNA from 1 species
CUUAGUGAUUCCCCUAGUUCGGUAUUUCAUUUUUUUUCACUAUACUAUAUCACCUCCUCUCAUAAAUAGCCAUUAUAAAUCUUGCAUUUUCUCUAAUGGAAACCCUUCUAAAGCCUUUUCCAUCUCCUUUACUUUCCAUUCCUACUCCUAACAUGUAUAGUUUCAAACACAACUCCACUUUUCCAAAUCCAACCAAACAAAAAGAUUCAAGAAAGUUCCAUUAUAGAAACAAAAGCAGUACACAUUUUUGUAGCUUUCUUGAUUUAGCACCCACAUCAAAGCCAGAGUCUUUAGAUGUUAACAUCUCAUGGGUUGAUACUGAUCUGGACGGGGCUGAAUUCGACGUGAUCAUCAUUGGAACUGGCCCUGCCGGGCUUCGGCUAGCUGAACAAGUUUCUAAAUAUGGUAUUAAGGUAUGUUGCGUUGACCCUUCACCACUUUCCAUGUGGCCAAAUAAUUAUGGUGUUUGGGUUGAUGAGUUUGAAAAGUUGGGAUUAGAAGAUUGUCUAGAUCAUAAGUGGCCUGUGAGUUGUGUUCAUAUAAGUGAUCACAAGACUAAGUAUUUGGACAGACCAUAUGGUAGAGUAAGUAGAAAGAAGUUGAAGUUGAAAUUGUUGAAUAGUUGUGUUGAAAAUAGAGUGAAGUUUUAUAAAGCCAAGGUUUUGAAAGUGAAGCAUGAAGAAUUUGAGUCUUCGAUUGUUUGUGAUGAUGGUAGGAAGAUAAGCGGUAGCUUGAUUGUUGAUGCAAGUGGCUAUGCUAGUGAUUUUAUAGAGUAUGACAAGCCAAGAAACCAUGGUUAUCAAGUUGCUCAUGGGAUUUUAGCAGAAGUUGAUAAUCAUCCAUUUGAUUUGGAUAAAAUGAUGCUUAUGGAUUGGAGGGAUUCUCAUUUAGGUAAUGAGCCAUAUCUGAGGGUGAAGAAUACUAAAGAACCAACAUUCUUGUAUGCAAUGCCAUUUGAUAGGAAUUUGGUAUUCUUGGAAGAGACUUCUUUAGUGAGUCGGCCUAUGUUAUCGUAUAUGGAAGUGAAAAGAAGGAUGGUAGCAAGAUUAAGACAUUUGGGGAUCAAAGUGAGAAGUGUCCUUGAGGAAGAGAAGUGUGUGAUCACUAUGGGAGGACCACUUCCGCGGAUUCCUCAAAAUGUUAUGGCUAUUGGUGGGACUUCAGGGAUAGUUCAUCCAUCGUCUGGGUACAUGGUGGCUCGUAGCAUGGCAUUGGCACCAGUACUGGCUGAGGCCAUCGUCGAAAGCCUUGGCUCAACAAGAAUGAUAAGAGGGUCUCAACUUUACCAUAGAGUUUGGAAUGGUUUGUGGCCUUCGGAUAGAAGACGUGUUAGAGAAUGUUAUUGUUUCGGAAUGGAGACUUUGUUGAAGCUUGAUUUGGAAGGUACUAGGAGAUUGUUUGAUGCUUUCUUUGAUGUUGAUCCCAAGUACUGGCACGGGUUCCUUUCUUCAAGAUUGUCUGUCAAAGAACUUGCUGUACUCAGUUUGUACCUUUUUGGACAUGCCUCUAAUUUGGCUAGGUU